UCGAGCGAGUCUGCCUUGAAGAUCGGAGUGCUUGCACUCUGUGAAACAAGAUACAGGCUAGCGGCGGACGGGUGAGUAACACGUGGGUAACCUGCCCAAGAGAUCGGGAUAACACCUGGAAACAGAUGCUAAUACCGGAUAACAACAGAUGAUGCCUAUCAACUGUUUAAAAGAUGGUUCUGCUAUCACUCUUGGAUGGACCUGCGGUGCAUUAGCUAGUUGGUAGGGUAACGGCCUACCAAGGCGAUGAUGCAUAGCCGAGUUGAGAGACUGAUCGGCCACAUUGGGACUGAGACACGGCCCAAACUCCUACGGGAGGCAGCAGUAGGGAAUCUUCCACAAUGGACGCAAGUCUGAUGGAGCAACGCCGCGUGAGUGAAGAAGGGUUUCGGCUCGUAAAGCUCUGUUGUUGGUGAAGAAGGACAGGGGUAGUAACUGACCUUUGUUUGACGGUAAUCAAUUAGAAAGUCACGGCUAACUACGUGCCAGCAGCCGCGGUAAUACGUAGGUGGCAAGCGUUGUCCGGAUUUAUUGGGCGUAAAGCGAGUGCAGGCGGCUCGAUAAGUCUGAUGUGAAAGCCUUCGGCUCAACCGGAGAAUUGCAUCAGAAACUGUCGAGCUUGAGUACAGAAGAGGAGAGUGGAACUCCAUGUGUAGCGGUGAAAUGCGUAGAUAUAUGGAAGAACACCGGUGGCGAAGGCGGCUCUCUGGUCUG
rnacentral:rRNA from 1 species